UCUGCUGUAUUAUUGAAUUGUGGUUUGUCAUACUUGUACUUUGCUUGAACAAAAGUUAUUGUAUUUCUUGCUCUUAUUGUAUUGUAACACUUGAAAUGUAUUUGCUUACGAUUGCGUCUGCCUAAAGCCACUACUGCCACACUGAACAGGAAAAGAUUUUGGGGUUCUAAAAAUUUGGGGUUGACCCGAUCUACACUGGGGCGUAUUUCGGGUUGGGGUCCUAACAUCUAUAAUAUUACAAUGCAAUAUAGGCCUAUUUUUAAGGAUGCUAUUUUGUGUUUUUGCUUUUAGUGUUUUACUGCUAACCUCCUGCAAACAGGAUCUCAAUAGUUUUCUGUUACUCACUCAUUAGUUUUUUUCUCACUCGGACCCCUUGCUCACCCAGUUUGUACAAUAUGACAUUGCCCUUUUAAGAGCAGGAAAUCAGUUUUAUUUCAGUAUUGCUGCAAACGGGAGUGACGUCACAGAGGAGUAUUUAAAUGUUCAUGAGAGGAGAAAGUUUUCAGCAGUAAGCAGAGAGAAGACAUCACAGAAACUUGUUUAGAGUUUUAACCUCCUGCAAACAGGAUCUCAGAAGCUUUCUGUUACUUGUGUUCUGUUAAGGAAACAAAGGAAGUGUUCCUGAGUGCCUCUGGAUAUCCAUAUAGGAUUGACUCUGGGAAACCACUGGGGGACUGGUUGACUGCGUUGUCUAUACAGUUGCUUAUUCUGUAACUAAAGACUAAGCCAGAAGAUGGAUGCCAUUCCAGUAUUGUCUCAGCUUAAAUCAUUUGUGCAGUGGGCUUCGGGGGACAGUGAAGGUGCUGAAGAGACACAAGCUAAUUUUUUGCAGCGCUGCCCGGUGGUAGCCCAGGGCACAUCAGCAGUUCAGGCGAUCAUUGGCGAUCAAGAAGGUGCCAGAGAAACACAGAUCGAGUUCCUGAAAAAUCUAAAUAACAAGGUGAAUUCUGUGCCAGUUGUUGGACAUGUAAAAGGUACAGUCCAUUACAUAUGUGGGGACAAGAAAGGUGGUGAUAAUGCUAUGAAAGCUGCAUCCCAUACUACAGGUGUC